UACGUAGGGAGCAAGCGUUGUCCGGAAUCAUUGGGCGUAAAGCGCGCGUAGGUGGCCCUGUAAGUCCGUUGUGAAAGUCAAAGGCUCAACCUUUGAAAGCCGAUGGAUACUGCCGUGCUUGAGGACUGGAGAGGAGACUGGAAUUUACGGUGUAGCGGUGAAAUGCGUAGAUAUCGUAAGGAAGACCAGUGGCGAAGGCGGGUCUCUGGACAGUUCCUGACGCUGAAGCACGAAGGCCAGGGGAGCAAACGGGAUUAGAAGCCUAG
rnacentral:rRNA from 1 species